rnacentral:rRNA from 1 species
CCUACGGGUGGCUGCAGUGGGGAAUAUUGGACAAUGGGGGCAACCCUGAUCCAGCAAUGCCGCGUGCGUGAAGAAGGCCUUAGGGUUGUAAAGCGCUUUCGCCCGCGACGAUGAUGACGGUAGCGGGAGAAGAAGCCCCGGCUAACUCCGUGCCAGCAGCCGCGGUAAUACGGAGGGGGCGAGCGUUGUUCGGAAUUACUGGGCGUAAAGGGCGCGUAGGCGGCCUUGUCAGUCAGGCGUGAAAGCCCCGGGCUCAACCUGGGAUGUGCGCUUGAUACUGCAAGGCUUGAGACCGGAAGAGGAUGGCGGAAUACCCAGUGUAGAGGUGAAAUUCGUAGAUAUUGGGUGGAACACCAGUGGCGAAGGCGGCCAUCUGGUCCGGAUCUGACGCUGAGGCGCGAAAGCGUGGGGAGCAAACAGGAUUAGAUACCCUUGUAGUC